AACUGAGACAGUGGUCAAGGAAAAUAGGACAGCACUACUGAAAAACACAACCACUAAAGAGAUUAUAUUUUAGCCCUAUGGAAAGUAGUGAAGGAGAGGAGCAAACUUCAGUGGAUUAACUCCGUGAGAUUUGUUCAGUAUAUGUUUCACUUAACCACCCAUAACAUAGAAGCCUUUGCAUAGCAUUAAAGAUUAACCCAGAUGAAAUUACCUGCUCACUGGAAUUUUAGCAGCCUGCAUUGUGAUCCACAAAUGAAGUCAAAAUGCCAAGGUGUAAAAUCUCUACAAUUUCCAUGGCAACAGAGAAUUACAGUUUUAGAUCUGCUUUGACUUCUGGAGACGGUUCAUGUGAUGAGUUUUAUAAAAAUGCAUAAUUCCACAUCAUAACAUUGUGUAGUGCACUGGGAGUUACAGUUAAUGGUCCCAUUCCAGAGACUGCUGAUAUUUUUGGGUUCCUGGUUCUGAGAAGAAAAAGAACUACAUACCCCAGGGGACUUUGCAUUUCUGCUUUCCAUUCAGCGUAAAACAUAAAAGCUGUUCACAGAUCAUGAGAUGGUUCUGUUUCCUUUCUGCUCAUCCCAGCUAGAUGUCUCGCCUUCAGAAUUAGAAGAUAAAUUCUGAUUGCCACGUCCUCUGAUUGAGUUGCCUUUAGAGCAACUUAAGAACUGGAACUCUUAGGAAACAGAGGAGUUGAAGAACCUCAGUUUAUAUGACCAAGAACAUGAAAAUCCUCAGAUCAUCUUGCCCUUCAAAUAAUACUUGGUAACUGUUCCCUUUAGUUUCAUUUUGAACACCUAGGAGUGCUUUGAAUUUCUGGAGAAGGAACAGGAAAAAGAAAAGCCCAAGGAUCUGUAUGGAGAGCAUUAUGUUCAAUGGGAUGAGACUCAGACAUAGAUAAUCUUCUCAAGGUGUUCAGGGAAUCAUGUGUAUGAAACCAAUCACCUAAUGAAGCAGUUAAAACAAAACAAAACAAAACAAAAACACACUGAACACUACAUGAAAGAAGAAUGUUGCUGAUUAAGAUAUUUCUAGUCUUGAUUUGUACUUGAUUAUACAUUAUACUAUAGUUUGAAAGAAAAAAAAAUUGAUGUAAUACCUCAGUAUGUCUUUCUAGAGGACAAUAAAAAUGUAUUCAU